CCCGGUGAGGCAGCGCACAGCACACACGCGAGGUUCUCUCCGGUGAGACGCGCACAGCACACACGCGAGGUUGUGCCCGGUGAGACAUGUAUGUCACACACAUGGUGCCCUACAGCAAGACAUGCACACAACACACGUGAAGUUCUACACAGCAAGACAUCAGACAUGCGUGAAGACAGACACGACAUUCUACGCAGUGAAACAUGCAUGUUACAGAUACGUGAAGCUCUGCGGUGAGUCACGUUUUACAGACACACUUGGGCUUUUCUGGGGAAGUGUGGGUGGGGCCUGGGCCGGAGGUGGCCUCGCCUGCCACGUCAGCACUUUUUGUGUCCGUGCUUGGGGGACUGGAAUGACCCACGUGCAACCUCGUGUGGCCAGCAUCCUCAGCAAGGCUUGCCUGGCCCCAGGUGAGCCUCUGGUGGGGGUGUCACCACCUGGUUCUAGAGGAUGUAACCCAGGUGUGGAGAUGGACGAUCUCCAUCUCGAAGGUCCCAGAUGUAACCGAGCUGUCCUGCCUCCAGGCGUCCCCUGCGGCGCUGGCCAAGUGCGUGCUGGCCGAGGUCCCGAAGCAGGUGGUGGAGUACUACAGCCACAGAGGCCUGGCCCCGAGAGGCCUGGACGUCCCUGCUGGAGAGGCCAGCGCAGGCUGCACCCCGUGAAGACGUGGAGGGCGUGGGGAGGGGCAGUGAGCAGUGGGUCCGUGGAGCCUUGGUCUCCAGCACCUUUGGGGUCUCUUAAGCUCCCUCCGACCUCCCAGAAGCCUCCAGUCCCCGCCAGGCCCCACUCCCAGUCCUCCUGGGAUCCUGCUGGCUUGGGCCCGGGUCCGGGGUCCCCGAGGCCGAAGGGUGAUAAAAUACAGGCCUCCAUGCCUGGCCCUGCCUGAGCCAGGUGGCUGGAGGGACAUCGUGAAGGAUUUGGAGGGGCCUGGGAGCUCAUCCAGCGGAGACCCUGCCCCGACGAGAAGGGGCACGGACUGGGGCUCUGCUUUGCAUCUGAUCUUUGUGGGGGAGGGCCAGCAGGGCAGCACCCCAGCCCCCAACAAAGCCCAGGGUGCCCAGACACCCUGUCCCCACAGUUAGCCUCCUUCUGUCCCUGCUCUGCCCCCACCCCCACCCACCUUGUGUGUUUUGCCGUCCAGCCUCUGCACCCAGGUCCAUGGGGUCUGCGGGGUCUGCCUGGCCUGUGGGUUCUGCCGGGGGGCGUCAGGAGUAAUAAAGUGUCACCCUACCCUUGUA